rnacentral:sRNA from 1 species
GCCUGGUGUGGUGGCUCAUGCCUGUAAUCCAGCGGCUUGGGAGGCUGAGACAGGAGGAUCCCAGGUUCAAAGCCAGCCUCAGCAACGUAGCAAGGCUGUAAGCAACCUAGUGAGAUUCUGUCUCAA